AUUGAACGCUGGCGGCAUGCUUUACACAUGCAAGUCGAGCGGCAGCGCGGGGGCAACCCUGGCGGCGAGCGGCGAACGGGUGAGUAAUGCAUCGGAACGUACCCUGGAGUGGGGGAUAACGCCGCGAAAGCGGCGCUAAUACCGCAUAUGCUCUGAGGAGGAAAGUGGGGGGACCGCAAGGCCUCACGCUCUGGGAGCGGCCGAUGUCCGAUUAGCUAGUUGGUGGGGUAAAGGCUUACCAAGGCGACGAUCGGUAGCUGGUCUGAGAGGAUGAUCAGCCACACUGGGACUGAGACACGGCCCAGACUCCUACGGGAGGCAGCAGUGGGGAAUUUUGGACAAUGGGGGCAACCCUGAUCCAGCCAUGCCGCGUGAGUGAAGAAGGCCU
rnacentral:rRNA from 1 species